AAAAUCCGUCGACUUUAAAAAUCGUGAGGGU
rnacentral:tRNA from 1 species